GACGAACGCUGGCGGCGUGCUUAACACAUGCAAGUCGAACGGAAAGGCCCUGCUUUUGUGGGGUGCUCGAGUGGCGAACGGGUGAGUAACACGUGAGUAACCUGCCCUUGACUUUGGGAUAACUUCAGGAAACUGGGGCUAAUACCGGAUAGGAGCUCCUGCUGCAUGGUGGGGGUUGGAAAGUUUCGGCGGUUGGGGAUGGACUCGCGGCUUAUCAGCUUGUUGGUGGGGUAGUGGCUUACCAAGGCUUUGACGGGUAGCCGGCCUGAGAGGGUGACCGGCCAGAUUGGGACUGAGAUACGGCCCAGGCUCCUACGGGAGGCAGCAGUGGGGAUUAUGGGACAAUGGGCGGAAGCCUGAUGCAGCAACGCCGCGUGCGGGAUGACGGCCUUCGGGUUGUAAACCGCUUUCGCCUGUGACGAAGCGUGAGUGACGGUAAUGGGUAAAGAAGCACCGGCUAACUACGUG
rnacentral:rRNA from 1 species